GGUACAGACUCAAUGCAAGAAACAAAAAUGGGAAGAGACGUUGAGGGGACUGCACAAAUCAGUGUGAGAUCAGAACAUGUAGGAAGUCUGAAGGGUGGAGGAUCUUGCAUGAUAAUGACUUGUGUAUUGACUAAGAAUCUCAUGUCUAUACUGAAAUCUGGAUCCUGACAGAGACAGGAGAAACAUAGUUGCCUAAAAAGGAGAAUUGCUCAUAAUCCAGAAUGGAAAAAUCCCUUUCUGCAGAUCAAGCCCAUCCACUGACAUUAAUUUUUGCCUUCGAUCUGCUCAGGCUGGUACCUAUAUCCCGGUUUGCUGACCAUGCCUCUCGUUCGUACCUUUGUCAGAAAUCCUGUCUUGGACUUAAGAUGCUUUUCUCCCUGAAGUUUCACUAAAAUUGGUAAACUCCUGUGAAAAGUUUCAAUUCUGAGAAGAACAGUUUUCCUGAGGAAUUCCCAGCAAGUUCUUUACAAAAGUUCUGCCAACAAAAGGAUACCGAAUCCUGUUAUUUCCUGUUUACUGUCCUGCUGGCACGUUCAAGCUUGCUGUCCCUCCUGAGCUGUGGAAGUUUCAACUGAGGACAGAGAGUGGUUCAACCAGAUUUACCCAGAGCAUCUCCCCGACCAGAACGGCUCUAGGAAAUGGAGGUGGCAGUUUCCCAUGUUGCAAAAUGAAACAAAAAAAUUAGUCACCUUAGCACGUCUUGCGAAAAAGUUUUAAGUAGCUACUAUCAGAGUUCCUGAUGAUGAAUAAAGAUCCUCCCUUUUCUUAUUUCAUUAAAAACUUAGGGUAAUUCAA